rnacentral:rRNA from 1 species
UACGUAGGGGGCAAGCGUUGUCCGGAAUCAUUGGGCGUAAAGAGCGCGUAGGCGGCUUGGCAAGUCCGCUGUGAAAGUCCAGGGCUCAACCCUGGAAAGCCGGUGGAAACUGUCAAGCUUGAGUCCGGAAGAGGCGAGUGGAAUUCCUGGUGUAGCGGUGAAAUGCGCAGAUAUCAGGAGGAACACCAAUGGCGAAGGCAGCUCGCUGGGACGGUACUGACGCUGAGACGCGAAAGCGUGGGGAGCAAACAGG